rnacentral:rRNA from 1 species
UACGAAGGGGGCUAGCGUUGUUCGGAAUUACUGGGCGUAAAGCGCACGUAGGCGGGUCGUUAAGUCAGGGGUGAAAUCCCAGAGCUCAACUCUGGAACUGCCUUUGAUACUGGCGACCUAGAGUUCGGAAGAGGUUAGUGGAAUUCCCAGUGUAGAGGUGAAAUUCGUAGAUAUUGGGAAGAACACCAGUGGCGAAGGCGGCUAACUGGUCCGAUACUGACGCUGAGGCGCGACAGCGUGGGGAGCAAACAGG